rnacentral:rRNA from 1 species
AGCGUAGGCGGCAGGGCAAGUCAGAUGUGAAAGACCGGGGCUCAACUUCGGGGUUGCAUUUGAAACUGUCCGGCUAGAGUGUCGGAGAGGUAAGCGGAAUUCCUAGUGUAGUGGUGAAAUGCGUAGAUAUUAGGAGGAACAUCGGUGGCGAAGGCGGCUUACUGGACGAUAACUGACGCUGAGGCUCGAAAGCGUGGGGAGCAAACAGGA